UACGAGGGGGGGCAAGCGUUGUUCGGAUUUACUGGGCGUAAAGCGCACGUAGGCGGACUAUUAAGUCAGGGGUGAAAUCCCGGGGCUCAACCCCGGAACUGCCUUUGAUACUGGUAGUCUUGAGUUCGAGAGAGGUGAGUGGAAUUCCGAGUGUAGAGGUGAAAUUCGUAGAUAUUCGGAGGAACACCAGUGGCGAAGGCGGCUCACUGGCUCGAUACUGACGCUGAGGUGCGAAAGCGUGGGGAGCAAACAGG
rnacentral:rRNA from 1 species